rnacentral:rRNA from 1 species
UACGUAGGUGACAAGCGUUGUCCGGAUUUACUGGGCGUAAAGAGCGCGCAGGCGGCCAAGUCAGUCGAAUGUGAAAGCCCCCGGCUUAACUGGGGAGGGUCAUUCGAUACUGCUCGGCUCGAAGACAGGAGAGGGAAGUGGAAUUCCCGGUGUAGUGGUGAAAUGCGUAGAUAUCGGGAGGAACACCAGUGGCGAAGGCGACUUUCUGGCCUGUUCUUGACGCUGAGGCGCGAAAGCUAGGGGAGCAAACGGG